CGGCGAACAGAACGCACGCACAGGCACAACCCAGCCUCCAGUCCAUUCCCCGAGCUCCCGUCGGAACCCUACCCGCCAACCCCGCCGCCGCCACCCCGCGCAGCGCUCCGCCUCGAGCCGCCACAGCAUCUUCCUCGUCGUCUCCUCCAGCCGCCACAGCAUCGUCCUCUCCGUCUCCUCCAGCCGCGACACCUCCUCCCGCCGGCCCCCACUUUCUACCGUGCAUCGAGCCGCCACACCCGCCGUCGCCGGGAUCCCCUCACGAGAUCUCCUCCUCCCGCUGCGUCCGCGAAGCGCAGAAUCGAGGAUUUGGUGGAGCGAGGGUGUUGUGGAAAGGGCCCCUAGGUCUUGCCGCCGGCCGCCCUCGCCCUCGCCCUCGCCCUCGCCAUGGACGGUCAUGGAGAUCCCCACUACGGGCGUCACCCUCAAACUCUUGCCCCUACUGAUUCUCGAUACCCCCAGUUUGAGGAACAAGGUAUUCCCCGCAGUCAUGAACCGCCGUCAAAAUGGGCGAGGAAGAAAGCUAAGAUGGAAUGGAGGAGGAAGCGCUAUGGUCAACACAGCGAGGAGGCCGUAGCUCUCGAGCUGGAGCAAGGAGCCAGCCAGCUACAGAAGGAGGACCUCCCCAAAACCACACUAGGUUCUCCCGUCGGCCACACCAUGGGAAGCCAUGGCCAUCCUGAAACACCUCGUGACAUUCAAUACAGCGAGGAGCAAGCUCCUAAUCCGUGGUGGGACGUGAACCUUAAUCGAGGGGGGGGGGGCAAAAGGGAUCAUAGGCAAGACUCUUCGGUUGAUACUGCUAUGUGAGCUUUUCCCCCUUGCCCCUUUUAUGAGCAGCUAACUAUUGCUAUUAAAAAGAGGAACUUUGAUCAUAAGGGCAAUGCAACACCAGCUUAGAGAUGAUGUUUUUUUAAUUAUGAUGAUUAUAUCCCGACAUAUUAGUUAGGUUGCACAUGUGUGCGGGGGGUUAAAGAAAAGGUUUUGGCCAGUACCAAUAUACGGUGGUCUCUUUCUCAUAUACUCCCUCUGUUUCUAAAUAUAAGUCUUUUUUAAAGAUUCAUUAAAAAGACUUAUAUUUAGUAACGGAGGGAGUAUGUACAUCAGGGGGUUAAAAAUACAUACCAAUCACAAUUUCUAUAAUUACGCGAUGGUGAUAACCUACCAAAUAUACACAGCAAUAACAUCUUAGCAAACCUAACUUCAGAUCGUUCAAACUUUGCAGGUCACCCGCAGCCACGAGAGGACGUAUUCGCCAGAGCCUUCUCUAUUCAGAUCGCCCCAGGAGACCUACAUCAGAUAAGCUACCGGUUGAGGAGCAUGCGGAUGAGGUAAGCAGCAGGGAGUUUGAAGCCCUGACACUUGAUCAAUCACGCCCUACACCUAAGUCAACUCACAGGGUUGAGAAGAAGGCUAGCAAGGUGAGCAGGGGUGAGGGAUCUACAGUUACAGAUCUACCUGAAUUAACUGAUAGGGUUGAGAAGAAUGCUGGCAAGGUGAGCGACAUUGAGGGUCCUGCAGUUAAGGCUCCACCGGUUAAGGAGGAUGCCAGUGAGGUGCGCAGCAGGGAGUUUAAAUCAGUAACACUCGGUCAGUCACUUCCUACAUUUAACCCAACUCAAAGGUAUUGCAUUGGCCUCUCUUUGGACA